AAAAAAGAAAAAAGAAAAGAAAAAGAAAAAAAAAUUAAAAUAAAUAGACCAUUCCAGAUGGUGAUCUACCCUUCCCCCCAAUUAUCACAAAAGGAGCUAUAAUCACUAACUUAUUAAUAAUGGUUACUGGUACCUUUACAAUAAUGUACAAUCCAAUGUUAAAAAUUUAUACCACUUCAGUUUGGUUUGAUCCUAUAAAUUUUCAACAGAUGUCUUAAAAUUUAAAAGCAGGCUGAUUAGUUUGGAACCAGACUUCAAGUAGAGCUAACAUUUGGUGAAUAAGAAAACAUCACAUUACAUUUUGGAUAUAUGAAAGAAAACUUGACCAUUUGAAGAUGUAUGAAUAAAGAAAUGUACUGUAGAUACUACUUUAGGAAAACACUGUUUGUAGUCGUGAAAGGUGCCAAAUUGGCAGAGGCUCACGUUUCUUCUCUUUACACCAAACAGCAGAGAGAGAUCAUCAUUGCCUGAAUUUAGCUUUGUGACUACAACAGCAAGACCUGUUCCUGUCUGGAGACGACUGUUAGAAUAUCAUCCUAUCAUUUUAUGUUUCCUCUUUAUCAAUUUGAAUAGAUGUUUACAUGUACUAUAAUUCGCCUUUUGUCUUUUCGCAGUUCUCUAAUUGCUACAUCUGAGUCCAGAAGUAUGUCUGAGUGUGUGCUUUGUCUGACCUUGCUCUUAUCUUAAACGUGUUCUCCCCUUACUUUAUAGCCAUUUAUUUUUUAAACACUAAGAAGGGAAAAGACCUCUUGGCUUCCUAAAAUGAGAUAAGUUCAGUCGCAGCCAAGUUGAAAAUUGUGUCUAGGAAAUCUAUAAAGCCAUGAUACUGUGUUCAUUAGCAUGAACAAUUUAGAAUGAAGAAAAUGAUUAAAAAGUUAAGCAUGGGUCUGUUUUUAAUUUUUCUGGGUUUUAGGAUACAUUUCUGGGGUUAGGAUAGUCACUUAAAAGAUUUUGAAUAGUUGGUAAAAUACUUUUUUAUACACUGUAAUAACUUGCCUAUUUCUUCUCAGUAUACUUAACUGAAUUUGUUGCCAAGGCCACUUAACCAAAUAAUUUUUUUAAAAAAUUUCUUAGCUCUUCACAACCAACAAGGAGAAUAAUUUUCUUUCUUUUCUAGUAAUACAGGAUGAUCUGUGGAUUAUAAAUACUGAGAAAUAUCUAUUAAAUGUCUAAUUUACGCAGUUUUCCCGUAUUUUCCUCACUUGCAAUCAAGACAUC